CAACUCAGCCGGGAACGGCGCCGACUCCCACCCGCCCAGUCAGCGUGGGGCCAGGUACCAGGACUGGGGGCAGGAAAUCGCCAUCAGCACCCCCAGAAACAGGGGGAACUGACCCAACUCAGCUGGGAACGGCGCCGGCUCCCACCCGCCCAGUCAGCGUGGGGCCAGGUACCAGGACUGGGGGCAGGAAAUCGCCAUCAGCACCCCCAGAAACAGAUUACACCCAUGGCAACAUCAUCCGUCUGGCCCUGGGCGCCGGGGUCCUGCUGGCUCUGGCGCUGAUCCUGGCCAAGGCUGCCCCAGGAUGGAGAUGGGGCAGAUGCUAGCUCAUCCCCGGACUCCCCAGCGCUGCAGCCCGUCUCGACGCGUCUAAAGGACUUUCACCCUGCGAGGUUGGAGCUGGCCGGCCUGGCUCUUGCUUAAGGACCUUCGUUUUCCCCUCUGCGAGCUGGAAGUCGUCCCGUUGCCGUGCCCUGCAGCCCCCAGCCCCCAGCGCGGAUAGCUGAUUAGCAGCGCCCCAAAGGCCCUGGAGAUCCUUUCCCCUUCCCUGGUUGUGCUGUUUUCCUCCGGGCUGUGUCUUUCCUCCUCUCCGAGCUCACGCUCCUGGCUUUCCAUCGGAUGCUGCAGUCGGGUGUAUGGCACCCUCCCACCUGCCCUGCCUAAGGGGACCAGACCCAAUGCGGGGCCAUCCCUGCCUGGAUUGUCACCAUCCACGGUCCGAGCAGCUGGGGUCGGGGUCGCCUUGCAGCCAAUGCAGCCGCUUGUCACUAACCCGCGUCCA